UCAAGAAUCUUCCUCAAUGGACGAAAGUCUGAAGGAGCAAUGCCGCGUGAUCGAUGAAGCCCCUCGGGGUGUAAAGAUCUUUUAUCAGGGACGAAUCCGUGACGGUACCUGAAGAAUAAGUCACUGCUAACUUCGUGCCAGCAGCAGCGGUAAUACGAAGGUGGCGAGCGUUACCCGGAUUGACUGGGCGUAAAGCGUCCGCAGACGGACAACCAAGUCUUUGGUUAAAUCCUGAGGCUCAACCUCAGGACCGCUAAAGAUACUGUUUGUCUAGAGGCUGGGAGAGGCAAGCGGAAUUACUGGUGUAGUAGUAAAAUGCGUUAAUAUCAGUAAGAACACCAAAAGCGAAGGCAGCUUGCUAGAACAGUCCUGACGUUCAGGGACGAAAGCGUGGGGAGCG
rnacentral:rRNA from 1 species